AGAUGCGAUCAUACCAGCACUAAAGCAUCGGAUCCCAUCAGAACUCCGAAGUUAAGCAUGCUUGGGCGAGAGUAGUACUAGGAUGGGUGACCUCCUGGGAAGUCCUCAUGUUGCAUUCC
rfam:Triticum urartu cultivar G1812 contig1160098, whole genome shotgun sequence.